UACGGAAGGCAGCAGUGGGGAAUAUUGCACAAUGGGCGCAAGCCUGAUGCAGCCAUGCCGCAUGUAUGAAGAAGGCCUUCGGGUUGUAAAGUACUUUCAGUCGUGAGGAAGGUGUUAAGGUUAAUAACCUUAGCAAUUGACGUUAGCGACAGAAGAAGCACCGGCUAACUCCGUGCCAGCAGCCGCGGUAAUACGGAGGGUGCGAGCGUUAAUCGGAAUUACUGGGCGUAAAGGGCACGCAGGCGGUUAAUUAAGUUGGAUGUGAAAUCCCCGGGCUUAACCUGGGAAUGGCAUUCAAGACUGGUUAGCUAGAGUCUUGUAGAGGGGGUAGAAUUCCGAUGUGUAGCGGUGAAAUGCGUAGAGAUGUGGAGGAAUACCGGUGGCGAAGGCGGCCCCUGGACAAAGACUGACGCUCAUGUGCGAAAGCGUGGGGAGCGAAACAGGGAUUAGAUACC
rnacentral:rRNA from 1 species